GAUGAACGCUGGCGGCGUGCCUAAUACAUGCAAGUCGAGCGAACGGAUAAGGAGCUUGCUCCUUUGACGUUAGCGGCGGACGGGUGAGUAACACGUGGGUAACCUACCUAUAAGACUGGAAUAACUCCGGGAAACCGGGGCUAAUGCCGGAUAACAUUUAGAACCGCAUGGUUCUAAAGUGAAAGAUGGUUUUGCUAUCACUUAUAGAUGGACCCGCGCCGUAUUAGCUAGUUGGUAAGGUAACGGCUUACCAAGGCAACGAUACGUAGCCGACCUGAGAGGGUGAUCGGCCACACUGGAACUGAGACACGGUCCAGACUCCUACGGGAGGCAGCAGUAGGGAAUCUUCCGCAAUGGGCGAAAGCCUGACGGAGCAACGCCGCGUGAGUGAUGAAGGUCUUCGGAUCGUAAAACUCUGUUAUUAGGGAAGAACAAACGUGUAAGUAACUGUGCACGUCUUGACGGUACCUAAUCAGAAAGCCACGGCUAACUACGUG
rnacentral:rRNA from 1 species